CCCGGUCGCUUCUCCUUAUUGCGUCCGGGCCUCUCCCUGUCAGAAGGCCAGGCGAAAGGCCAGCCCAUCCCGGCCAUUCCCAAAGCAAGGCGAAAGGCCAGCCCAUCCCGGCUAUUCCCAAAAGAGCGAAACAACGAUAUGGACCGCAACCUGAGAAGACACUAUAAGCACAUGAACUACAGAUGCCUGGGAAGAAAGACUUGGGUUCCACCCAAAGCCAAGAAUACUGGAUGGAGACGAAGAAACAGGAGGCGUUCUAGGGAACUCCUGGAGGCAAUGAGCCUCACCCCUCAAAGGCACGUGCACUCUGGGACAUUUUCCCUCCGCUACCGGCAGAACUUCAGAUUGCGUGGGGCGUAAGCCAGUCAUUAGGAAGGAAGACACCCUAUAAAAGGAAGAUCCUCAGUGGGCGACGAUGCUGAAUGGGGGAUACAGUUCCUACUCCCCACAGUUAAAUAAAUUGGAGUCCAUUUGAAACA